CCUACAAGGAUAGAAGGAAAAUGUUUCUCCCCUACUGCUGGUGUAGUCGGCAGGAUAAACUCCUCUAUCUGGAUACUUCUUGCUCCAAGGGUGCAGCAGCUGAGAGAUCCAAUGACCUCUGACAAAAGCUGGCAGAAGAUUGACAAGAGCUCAUGAAAAUUAGAGGUGUAAAGAUGUUACCAUUACCAGCGGCAAAAGUCAUGGAAUGCACCUAACCCAGGAAAGAAGAUGUUUGAAUUGUCUUUUAUUAAAGCAAGUGAUUUAAAAAUCGAUUAAUGUAAUCCACCACAACAGGCUAAAGAAGAAAAAUCACAUGAGCCUA